UGAGUUGAAUCGGUACUACUCCUUCUACGGCGGAAAUAAAGUAAAAAGCGUCAGUGGAAUAGAUGUAUUUUCACGAAUUAUCGAAUAAGCUCGCCCAUUACUAGGCAUCAGUCUUGUCAAUUUUUUGAUAUUUUGUCCGUUGUCCGUCAAGAAACAGGGUCGAUUGUAAUGGCUGUCUUUCGGUAAUUUUUCGCUGGUCUCAAAAAUAAAAUGUAAAUAAUCAGUGGUUUGUCAACACGAUAAUUCCUCGAUUUUCGAUAUUGGCUGAAAAACUAAUUAUAUUGGUGUAGUGAUUCGAAGGGGAAAACGGUUUCCGAUGUGGAAACAGUUGGAAAUGGGUCUGCGAGCAUUCCUGCUCAUAGCUUCCAGAAUAUGGACCUGCUUAUGUUUUACUCUGAGAAAACAAACUCGUGCGAUAAUUCAACAUCAGUCUGUAAAGUACGAUUUAUUUCCAUUAUCACCUUUAUCCAGACAUAGAUUAAGUAUAGUAAAAAGAAAAGUUCUGGUUCUUGAUCUAGACGAAACGCUUAUUCACUCACAUCACGACGGAGUAGUGAGGCAAACAGUAAGGCCAGGCGUACCUCCCGAUUUUAUCUUAAAAGUGACGAUUGACAGACAUCCAGUUCGGUUUUUUGUGCACAAACGGCCCCACGUAGAUUUUUUCCUUGAUAUAGUAUCUCAAUGGUAUGAACUGGUGGUAUUCACUGCUAGUAUGGAAAUAUACGGGGCCGCUGUUGCUGAUCGACUAGAUGCAGGGCGGGGUAUUCUGCAAAGACGCUUUUAUCGCCAACAUUGCACUCCCGACUUCGGAUCUUAUACCAAGGAUCUUAGUGCUAUUUGCAACGAUCUCUCCAGUGUAUUUAUCCUGGACAAUAGCCCUGGCGCGUACAAAGCGUAUCCCGAUAAUGCCAUUCCGAUUAAAUCGUGGUUUUCGGACCCGACGGACAUGGCAUUACUCAACCUACUUCCAGUCCUGGAUGCGCUUCGCUUCACAGCCGACGUUCGGUCUGUGCUAAAUCGGAACUUGCAUCUACACAGGCUCUGGUAGGACUCCAUAUACAAAUUCUUCACUGAGCUGAUCAGUGUAAUGUAAUAUGAAAAACAGUUUUGCUGCAGGUAAUAGACGAACAAACUAUGAAGGAGCAAAAGUUAGUAGAUUAGGUAGUUAAUGGUAUUUUCGUCUUUUUCAUUUCUAUGUACAGUGUACAUGAGUCAAUUUUAUUUUCAUAUAUUCGUACAGCUUCAGAGACACAUCUAUUUUGAGAUGCUUAGAAGCUGUACAUAUAUCCUCAAAUUCUAAGAUAAUUUUGGCCAGUGGUUCCUUUUAGUUCAAAUUAAAAUAAGCUUUGUUGGUAACAGAAAUUUUUAUAAGCGACAACGUUAAAUGCCAAGUAUAUUGAAACAAUACUUGCUACUAAUGGCCACAUAUGAACAGGAAUGAGAAGAUAUGAAUUUCUGAUACUGACGAAAUAUUUUUAAUGUAAUCAAUUUUUUUAUAAAUAUGCUCAUAUAUCGAUGGUUUAAGUUCCGAAUCGCGCUUUCACAUUUAUUGUGAAUAAACUUCAGGUAUGAGAAAAUUGUUUCACUGAGUUUUACCGAACAUAUGAAUACAAAAUCGAUGCAAGGAUUGUGUUUUUUGAAACAAAACACCGAAGUUUAUUUGAAAAUAUCUGGAAAGUGCAAAACUGGCACGUGAUACUUGAUUGAUACAUGUGUGUCGACGUUUUUACUUAAAUCAAACCAUAAAUUACUUUGAAUGUAGAACAUCUCUGCACUAGCAAUUGAAGAAAGAUUGCUAGUCUCUGCUCUCGCUCGCCGAAAGAUGGUAAAAAUUUGUUCCGAGAAACAUUUAGUACAUCUUGCCAACUGCAAGUAUAAUAUGUAUAUAGUGUGUCAUAAUAAUUGAUAAGUUGUUUGUAAGGUACUUUAAAAAUACAUUUGGAUAAAAUAAGUAUCAACAUGUCUUGACAAUACCUCUUUUAAAAUAAAUUGGUCUCUAGAUUCCACUGAAAUAUGUAUAAUCAAGGUUUCAAUACUACAAGCGAGUUAAUAAUUCGUACGUGCAACUUGGUAUCUUAGUCACUUUAAGACGAUAAAUAUCAGUUUUAAUUAACAUUAGAUUUAUUUGCUGUUAUCCUAUUCUAAUUCUAUUUAUUUUUUGGUAAUCUCUGUUAUGUUGAUAUUUACUAGAGAAAGUUUAUGUUGUCUAUGAAUUAGGAUGUCUAACAAUUGUAAAUACACAUUCAGGACAAUGUAGAAGCCGAAUGAAUGACAUGAGUUUAGUUAGGAUUUACGUUAGAAAUCAGAUUUACCAAAGUACUGCUAAAAUUUAUGUUUGAACAAAGAAGAAAAUAUGUAUGAUUUGAAUUUUUCUCAACAUUGAAAUUGUAAUAAAUGAUUUGCAUUAUAAU